GGUCCCGUGGUGUAGUUUGGAGUGCACGCCGACCUGUCAAGCCGGAGGUCGCGGGUUCAAAUCCCGUCGGGACCG
rnacentral:tRNA from 1 species